CACCGCCCGUCACAUCACGAAAAGUGGGCUGUACUAGAAGUCCGCAGGCUAACCGCAAGGAGGCAGCGGCCCAAGGUAUGGUUCAUGAUUGGGGUG
rnacentral:rRNA from 1 species